CCCGCUGAACUUAAGCAUAUCAAUAAGCGGAGGAAAAGAAACUAACAAGGAUUCCCCUAGUAACUGCGAGUGAAGAGGGAAAAGCUCAAAUUUAAAAUCUGGCAGUCUUUGAUUGUCCGAGUUGUAAUUUAGAGAAGUGUUACCCGUGUUGGCCCGUGUACAAGUUUCCUGGAAUGGAACGUGAUAGAGGGUGAGAAUCCCGUCUUUGACACGGACUACCAAUGCAUUGUGGUAUGCUCUCGAAGAGUCGAGUUGUUUGGGAAUGCAGCUCUAAAUGGGUGGUAAAUUCCAUCUAAAGCUAAAUAUUGUGGAGAGCCCGAUAGCGAACAAGUACCGUGAGUGAUAGAUGAAAAGAACUUUGGAAAGAGAGUUAAACAGUACGUGAAAUUGCUGAAAGGGAAACGCUUGAAGUCAGUCGCGUUAGCCGGGGAUCAGCCUUCCCUUUGGUUGGUGUACUUUCUGCAUGACGUGUCACCAUCCGUUUUGACCGAUGGAUACAGAGCUUGAGGAAUGUGAACACUUCGGGUGUGUAUAUAUCCUCUUGUCGUAUACAUCGAGAGGGACUAAGGAACUCAGCCCCUCGCCACGUCCGGUUUCUAACCACAUACUUGCUAAGUUCGCUUCCUUAAUGUCUUUAAAUCGACCAGCUCGGAACACGG
rnacentral:rRNA from 1 species